GAAGGCAAUGAAAAAAUGGGGCUUCCGGCCCUCGUUUCUUGACCAAAACUCUCACCGAGUACCUCCUCCACGUUGCUUCCCCCGGGGGGAUGAUCUCUCUCUCUCUCACGCUCCUGGGGGGAAGGUCACCAUGACAAAAACCAUGCCAAAAGAUGAUUGCAGUCUGAAUUGGGUAAACCCUGCGCUUCGUGGGGAGCCCGUACCACUUUUUUUUUCAAGGGUAGAAAGGUGAAUAAGUCA
rnacentral:misc_RNA from 1 species